UGUUCUAUACAAUUAGGUAUAGGAGAUAUGGAUUGUUGUCAAGUCUUCUGCGAGAAUUUCUUCAAGAAAUCUUGC
rnacentral:sRNA from 12 species